rnacentral:tRNA from 1 species
GGGGUGGUAGUUCAGCUGGUCAGAACGCCGGCCUGUCACGUCGGAGGUCGCGGGUUCGAGCCCCGUCCACCCCGCCA